UUUGGGAUUAGCAUCCUGUCACCAGGUAGCUGCCUUCUGUACCCCCCAUUGUAACACGUGUGUAGCCCCGGACGUAAGGGCCGUGCUGAUUUGACGUCAUCCCCACCUUCCUCACAUCUUACGACGGCAGUCUCUCUAGAGUCCUCAGCAUGACCUGUUAGUAACUAAAGAUAAGGGUUGCGCUCGUUAUGGCACUUAAGCCGACACCUCACGGCACGAGCUGACGACAACCAUGCAGCACCUUCACAUUUGCCUUACGGCUAUACUGUUUCCAAUAUAUUCAAAUGCAAUUUAAGCCCGGGUAAGGUUCCUCGCGUAUCAUCGAAUUAAACCACAUGUUCCUCCGCUUGUGCGGGCCCCCGUCAAUUCCUUUGAGUUUCACCGUUGCCGGCGUACUCCCCAGGUGGAAUACUUAAUGCUUUCGCUUGGCCGCUUACUGUAUAUCGCAAACAGCGAGUAUUCAUCGUUUACUGUGUGGACUACCAGGGUAUCUAAUCCUGUUUGAUACCCACACUUUCGAGCAUCAGUGUCAGUUGCAGUCCAGUGAGCUGCCUUCGCAAUCGGAGUUCUUCGUGAUAUCUAAGCAUUUCACCGCUACACCACGAAUUCCGCCCACCUCUACUGUACUCAAGACAGCCAGUAUCAACUGCNAAUUUUACGGUUGAGCCGCAAACUUUCACAACUGACUUAACUGUCCACCUACGCUCCCUUUAAACCCAAUAAAUCCGGAUAACGCUCGGAUCCUCCGUAUUACCGCGGCUGCUGGCACGGAGUUAGCCGAUCCUUAUUCAUAUGGUACAUACAAAAUUCCACACGUGGAAAACUUUAUUCCCAUAUAAAAGAAGUUUACAACCCAUAGGGCAGUCAUCCUUCACGCUACUUGGCUGGUUCAGGCCUGCGCCCAUUGACCAAUAUUCCUCACUGCUGCCUCCCGUAGGAGUUUGGACCGUGUCUCAGUUCCAAUGUGGGGGACCUUCCUCUCAGAACCCCUAUCCAUCGAAGGUUUGGUGAGCCGUUACCUCACCAACUGCCUAAUGGAACGCAUCCCCAUCGAUAACCGAAAUUCUUUAAUAACAAGACCAUGCGGUCUGAUUAUACCAUCGGGUAUUAAUCUUUCUUUCGAAAGGCUAUCCCCG
rnacentral:rRNA from 1 species